UACGUAGGGUGCAAGCGUUAAUCGGAAUUACUGGGCGUAAAGCGUGCGCAGGCGGUUUUGUAAGUCUGUCGUGAAAUCCCCGGGCUCAACCUGGGAAUUGCGAUGGAGACUGCAAGGCUAGAAUCUGGCAGAGGGGGGUAGAAUUCCACGUGUGAGCAGUGAAAUGCGUAGAGAUGUGGAGGAACACCGAUGGCGAAGGCAGCCCCCUGGGUCAAGAUUGACGCUCAUGCACAGAAGGCGGUGGGAGCAAACGAAGGAUUAGUA
rnacentral:rRNA from 1 species